AUACAGAGGGUGCAAGCGUUAAUCGGAUUUACUGGGCGUAAAGCGCGCGUAGGUGGCUAAUUAAGUCAAAUGUGAAAUCCCCGAGCUUAACUGGGGAAUUGCAUUCGAUACUGGUUAGCUAGAGUAUGGGAGAGGAUGGUAGAAUUCCAGGUGUAGCGGUGAAAUGCGUAGAGAUCUGGAGGAAUACCGAUGGCGAAGGCAGCCAUCUGGCCUAAUACUGUACCGUAGGGGCGAAAGCAUGGGGAGCAAACAGGAUUGGAUCCCCUGGUAGUCCAUGCCGUAAACGAUGUCUACUAGCCGUUGGGGCCCUUGAGGCUUUAGUGUCGCAGCUAACGCGAUAAGUAGACCGCCUGGGGAGUACGGUCGCAAGACUAAAACUCAAAUGAAUUGACGGGG
rnacentral:rRNA from 1 species